UUGAGUGGUGCUUUCAAUGAUCCAUGAUAAAUGUCUCAAUCACAAAAAGUCUCAAUGUGAUUCAAACUUGCUUCUAAUCAUCCCAUAGAGGGGAUGGGCUCUCAAUGAGCUCUUUCAUAAAAGAAACUCAAUGACCUCAAAUCAGAUGAGAAUACCCGCUGAACUUAAGCAUAUCAAUAAGCGGAGGAAAAGAAACUAACAAGGAUUCCCUCAGUAACGGCGAGUGAAGAGGGAAGAGCUCAGUUUUGAAAUCUGGCAGUCAUUCCACUGUCCGAGUUGUAUAUUGAAGAGAAUGUCAUCCACACUGGACCAUGUCUAAAUUGUAAUAAUCCACAGUCCUUUGAUGGAGUAUCAGAGAGGGUAAUAAUCCCGUCUUUAACGUGGACCACCAGUGUUUAUGUGAUGCACUCUCUCAGAGUCGAGUAGUUUGGGAAUGCUGCUCUAAUGGGAGGUAAACUCCUUCUAAAGCUAAAUAUUGGUCGAGAGACCGAUAGCGAACAAGUACCGUGAGGGAAAGAUGAAAAGAACUCUGAAAAGAGAGUCAAACAGAACGUGAAAUUGCUGAAAGGGAAGCGUUUGGAGUCAGAUGCAUCCUCAAUGUAAUACGGCUCAGUUGGCAGAGACUGAGAGCAGUGACUUGAAGAUGGGCCAGCACUCACGUAGAUCAUUGGAGAAGGGGUCAUGGAAUGUAGCUCAAUUCUUGAGUGUUUAUAGACUUGAUUCAUAUACAAUGUGUCUUAUGUGUGUUAAUUGACAGCACGAGUCUGACUCAGUGCUGACUGGCAUAAUGGCUCUAAG
rnacentral:rRNA from 1 species